rnacentral:rRNA from 1 species
UACGUAGGGCGCAAGCGUUAUCCGGAAUUAUUGGGCGUAAAGAGCUCGUAGGCGGUUUGUCGCGUCUGCCGUGAAAAGUCCGGGGGCUCAACUCCGGAUCUGCGGUGGGUACGGGCAGACUAGAGUGAUGUAGGGGAGACUGGAAUUCCUGGUGUAGCGGUGAAAUGCGCAGAUAUCAGGAGGAGCACCGAUGGCGAAGGCAGGUCUCUGGGCAUUAACUGACGCUGAGGAGCGAAAGCAUGGGGAGCGAACAGG